rnacentral:rRNA from 1 species
GUUUGAUCCUGGCUCACGACGAACGCUGGCGGCGUGCUUAACACAUGCAAGUCGAGCGGAGUAAACAGGGGCUUGCUUUUCUUUACUUACCGGCGGACGGGUGAGUAACACGUGGGCAAGCUACCCUAUGGAGGGGAAUAACAGGGAGAAAUCUUUGCUAAUACCGCAUACAUCCAAAGUUUUGCAUAAAGCUUUGGAGAAAGGAGAACUCCGCCAUAGGAUGGGCCCGCGUCCCAUUAGCUAGUUGGUGAGAUAACAGCCCACCAAGGCGACGAUGGGUAGCCGACCUGAGAGGGUGAACGGCCCACCACAUUGGGAUAUGGAGACACGUCCAGAUCUCCCUACGGAGGCAGCAGCUGGGGAAUAUUGCCAAUGGGGGACUGAUGCAGCAACGCGCGUGAGCUGAUGAAGGGUCUUCGAUGUAAACGCUACUGUCUGCGCGAGAUAACUGAGCGGUAAGCGAUGAGAAGUCCCGGCUAAUACGUGCAGCAGCCGCGGUAAUACGUAGGUGGCGAGCGUGUCGGAAUUACUGGGCGUAAAGGGUGCGUAGGCGGUUUUUCAAUGGGAUGUGAAAUCCGAGGCUUACUUCAAAUUGCAUUCCAAACUGGAAGCUAGAGUACAGGAAGGAAAGCGGAAUUCCCAGUGUAGCGGUGAAAUGCGUAGAGAUUGGGAGGAACACCAGUGCGAGGCGGCUUUCGACUGUAACUGACGCUGGCACGAAGCGUGGGAGCACAGGUAGAUACCCUGGUAGUCCACGCUCGUAACGAUGAAUACUAGGUUGGGGGCUAAGCCCCUCUGUGCGCAGUUAACACAUAGUAUUCCGUCUGGGAGUACGAUGCAAGAUUAAAACUCAAACGGAUUGACGAGGGACCACAAGCAGGAGCAUGUGGUCUAAUCGAUGAUACGCGAGAACUACCGAGCUUGACUCUAAAGAAUCUAAUAGAGAUAUUCGAUGCCCCGUAAAGGGAGCUUUAGAUCAGGUGUGCAUUAGUCGUCAGCAUCGGUCUGAGUAGCUUAGUUAAGAUCUGCACGAGCGCAACUACUGUUAGUGUUACAUAGUGAGCAUUCUAAGGGAUCGUGUCUAUUUAACGGUAAAACGGAAGCUGGGGAUGACGUCAAAUCAUCAUUCCCCUUAUCCCUUGGGCAACACACGUGCUACAAUGGUCGGUACAACGAGAAGCAAUACCGAGUGGAGGAGCAAAUCUUAAAAACCGAUCCCAGUUCGGAUUGCAGGAUGCAACUCGCCUGCAUGAAGCCGGAGUUGAUAGUAAUCGUGAAUCAGCAUGUCUCGGCGAAUACGUUCCCGGGUCUUGUACACACCGCCCGUCACACCACGAGAGUCAGUAACACCCGAAGUCAGUGGCCUAACCGUAAGGAGGCAGCUGCCGAAGGUG